rnacentral:lncRNA from 1 species
CAGCAGGCUCAACCGGCUCAGGUCGACCGAGUACAACAACAACGAGGACCUGAAAGACUGCCUCAAACACCUCGAGUCGAACAUCACCGACGCUGUUUGUGACCGCCUCAGUGAGGUGGUGACCGCGACGGGGGCGCUAGCGUCGCGCGUGC